ACGUGACGUCAUAAGGCUGCGACGCUCUCCUGCGUCUGCGAUCCGAGGAAAGAGUGCCCAAACACACAGAAACAUGGCGGUUAUUAAAGAGGAGACUGAAGACUUCAGGAUUGAAGAAGUGUUCAGUCUCAAACCAGAAGAUUUCGAGGAACUAACAGACCUGACAGCAUUUAAAGAGGAGAAAGAAGUACUGAAUGAAGUGGAAGAGAAAGAUCAGUAUGAGAGCCAUCAUGAUUUUAUAAUUGAAGAAAACUCUUUUAAUUGCUCACAGACUAAAAAGACUUCCUCACGAAAAAGAGUUAAAAAAGCUGUAGGAACUAGAAGUUGUUUAACCUGCUUUCAGUGUGGAAAGCUUUUCACUCAAAUAGGAAGCCUUAACAGGCACAUGAGAAUUCACACUGGAGAGAAGCCUUAUUCGUGCCCUCAGUGUGGAAAGUGUUUCGAUCAGCAUGGAAAUCUUAAAGUCCACAUGAGAAGUCACACUGGAGCGAAACUCUACAAGUGCCUGCAGUGUGGAAAAAGUUUUGAUCAACAUGGAAACUUUAAAAUCCACAUGAGAAUUCACAUAGGAGGAAACCCUCUCGCCUGCCAACAGUGUGGAGUAAGUUUCAGAAAGAAAUGGAUUCUCAUCAGACAUAUGAGAAUUCACACUGGAGAGAAGCCUUACACAUGCCCUCAGUGUGGAAAGAGUUUUAAUCAACAUGGAAAUCUUAAACUCCACAUGAGUAUUCAUACAGGAGAAAGGCCUUUUACCUGUCAGCAGUGUGGAAAACGUUUCAAACGAAAAGGAAACCUUAAGUACCACAUGAGAAUUCACACUGGAGAAAGCCCUUUUACCAGCCAACAGUGUGGAGUAAGUUUCACUCAAAAAGGGAUUCUCAAUAGGGACAUGAAAAUUCACACUGGGGAGAAGCCUUACACAUGCCCUCAGUGUGGAAAGGGUUUUCAUCAACAUAGAAACCUUAAACUCCACAUGAAAGUUCAUACAGUAGAAAGGCCUUUUACCUGCCAACAGUGUGGAAAAUGUUUCAAACGAAAAGGAAACCUUAAUUAUCACAUGAGCGUACACACUGGAGAAAGCCAUUUCACCUGCCAGCACUGUGGAUUAAGUUUCACUCAAAUAGGAAGCCUUAACAGGCACAUGAGAAUUCACACUGGAGAGAAACCUUACUCAUGCUCUCAGUGUGGAAAGUGUUUCGAUCAGCAUGGAAAUCUUAAAGUCCACAUUAGGAUUCAUACUGGAGAGAAACCAUACACAUGCCCGCAGUGUGGAAAAAGUUUUGAUCAACAUGGAAACUUUAAAAUCCACAUGAAAAUUCAUACAGGAGAAAACCCUUUUACCUGUCAACAGUGUGGAAAAAGUUUCAACCGAAAAGGAAACCUUAAGUACCACAUGAGAAUUCACACUAGGGAAAAGCCUUACACAUGCUAUCAGUGUGGAAAGAGUUUCGAUCAAAAUGAAAAGCUUAAAGUACACAUGAGAAUUCACACUGGAGAAAGGCCUUUUACCUGCAAACAGUGUGGAAAACAUUUCAAACGAAAAGGAAACCUUGAUUACCACAUGAGCGUACACACUGGAGAAAGCCCUUUCACAUGCCAUCAGUGUGGAAAGAGUUUCGAUCAAAAUGAAAAGCUUAAAGUACACAUCAGAAUUCACACUGGAGAGAAAGCGUUUCAGUCAACAUAGAAAGCUUAAAGUUCAGAUGAGAAUUCAUACUGGAGAGACCCCUUUACCUGCCAACAGUGUGGAACUUUUGAACUUUGAAAAUUAACCCAUAUCUGGCUCAUGAUCACUCAGAACAGAAAGAAGCUAUUUACAUGCGAUUAGUGUGGAGUUUCAGAUAAAUGUUAUCCUUAAGCUCAAUCCUUGAGGAUUCACUUAAGAGAGAAUGUCAUCAAAGUGUUUCCUGUCUGUGAAAUUCCUACCUCUUUGAAGUCAUGUCUUAAAUAUCAUCACUGUGGAAAGACUUGCAGAAACAAAGCAAAUCUUGAGGUUCACACUGGAGAGAAGCCUUUCACUUGCCCCCAGUGUGGGAAGAGUUUCAACCUUAAAGGAAACGUUAGCAUUCACAUGAGACUUCACACUAAAGAAAGUAUUUCACGUGUCUUUAGUGUGAAGAGUUUUAUCAAAGAGCCCUGAAAUGUGGAGUGCUGCUCAGUGUGGCAAAAGGUUUACGAAUAAAGAGCAAUUUCAGUUAUCAGUUGUGCAUUCAUUCUGGAGGAAAACCAUGCAAGAUGUGCAAAUGUGAGACCCUAUUUGUGUUAUUUGUGAUGUCAUUACUCAUGAAAAUACACAUUGUUAGUUGUAUUUAAAAAUGUGUUUUCACUAGUUGUUACACCCCAAGUUUGGGACCAGUUUAAGACUUGCAAAAAGAAAAAAUGUUGCAAUGGCCAGGGGAAAAAGAUAAACAAGAAUGAAUAUGAACUUAAUUUUAUAUCCCAGGGCAUAAUAUUAUUUGUUGUUGUUUUAUACUUUGAUUGCCAUUCUAUGGAUAUACAGUUGCAAACAGAAAUAUUCAACCCCCUCACCUCAAAAGACAUUAUGGUGAUAUCGAUGAACAAUCAUGACAAUAAAUGACAAAAAAUAUAUUUAUAUUAUAUUUAUAAUAUAAGUAUAUAAAAAAUAUUUAUUGAUACAUAUUUGAGUUAAUCUGACAACAGAAGUUGACUUAACUUUGAAGUUCAAAUGAAAAAUGUAACAUUUUUAACAAGUGCAUGUGCAGUAUUAUUCAACCCCCAGCUUCAGUACUUUGUGGAGCAUCCUUUAGCUUUUAUAACUUCUAACAAAUGUUUUUGGUAAGUGCUGACAAGCUUCUUACACCUCUCUAUCAGAAUCUUUGCCCAUUCUUUGCCAAUUUGCCCAGAUUUUCAGAUUUAAAUCUGGUCACUGAGAAGGCCACUCCAGGACGUUCCAGGAUCUUUUUCUCAACCAAGCUUUGGUUGACUUGGAGGUGUGCUUGGGAUCACUGUCUUGCUAGAAAGUCAACAGAAGGCAUCAUGUUCCUCUUUAAAAUGGCCUGGUAUUUCUGGGAAUCCAUGAUGCCAGGUACACGAUCAAGAUUGCCAGUUCCUGCUGCAAGAACAGCCCCACAUCAUCAAUGAGCCACCUCCAUGCUUGACCGUGGGGAUGGUAUUUUUCUGGUCAAAAGCCUGGCCUUUCACAUUCCAUAAAUACCGUUGGUCCAAAUGUCCAAACCGUUCCGGUUUCAUCAGUCAAUAGAAAUGUCUCCCAAAACUCUGAAGUCUUCUCCAAAUUCCUCCUGGCAUAUUCUAGUCAACUUUUGAUGUUCCUUGUGGUCAAGAGUGGAGUGCGUCUUGGAGUCCAGCCAUGAAGUCCUUGUUUAUUCAGUGCAUGUCUUAUAGUUGCUCUUGAAGCACUUGUACCAGCCUUCAUUAGGUCAUCCUGUAGGUGUCUUGCAGUCACACAGAGGUUUUUCUUAGUUGUCCUGACUAAGUUGGUACAGGCCCUUGAUGAAAUUCUGGGCUUCCAUGGCCAGGCAUGUUUGCAGCUGUUCCAUAAGUUUUAAACGUCCUUAUAAUGCUCCCAAUUGUGUCUUGGAAUGUAAAAUUGUUUUAUACCCAAGGCCCUACAGGUGUGAUGAAAUAAUCUCCUCUCUCAGCUUUUGUGGAAGCUCCUUUGUCUUUCCCAUGAUUGCAACUCGCCUUGGAUACCUUCAUGGGUGGGGUUUAUAUAUGCAGCACAGCUGAAGCAAGUCAAGGAUGAUUAUAGAGCUCCCAAAGGCUUAAUUAUGUUGCAACUCCACUUUAUGCCAUAAAAAAUAUGCCAAAACAAAAUAUCCUGUUACACACAAAUACUACAUCAUGCAUUUUCUGUGUUGACUUUGUGUCACUCAACUCAUAAAGAAGUCAUCCAACACAGCAUCUUGUUCUUUGAAAAAACUUGAAUUGAUAAAUCCUUAAUCUUUGUAUGAAUUAUAAUCGUUGUGAAUAUUUCUGAUUGCAACUGUACACGUUGUUGUGCAUAUACUGUGCGUGUAUACCCAUUCUUUUAUGAUGUAACAAUUGGGGGCUUGUCUAUUAACAACAAUUGGAAACUUAUACUACAUUUUGAUAACUAGGGGUGGGCUUACCAAGUUUUUGUUAUUCAGAGGUAAGUGUGUUUGCUUGCUUGGAGGUCAUGUUGAUGAGGUAUGGAUUUGGAUUUAGUAAUGUUUAAAGUAUGUCCUGCAUUAGUAGAGUUUAAUUGUUGAAAAAAUACUUGAUGAUUGCUUGACUUAAAACUAAAGAAAAACAUGACACACAACCUCGAAGCUAAAACCCUCUGUAGAAUGCCAGUUCUUACUCCUAAGUCCAGACCACCUUUAGCUAGUGUUGGGGAGACGGUGAAGUCUGACUUUGACAAGUAUGUAAGGUUAGUGUUUGAUUAGGGUUAGAGCUAAACUCUGCAGGAAAGUGGAUCUUGUGAGCCAGGUUUGAGAAUCACUGCAUUAGUGCAUCAUUUUCAUUUAAAACACAUGGUGUAUUUUAUCCCAUUUGAAAGUGUAGAUACUAAGCCAGUGGUGUCCAAACUUGGUGAUGGAGGGCCACUGUCCUGCAGAGUUUAGCUCCAACCUGCCCCAACACACCUGUCUGGAA